AUGGCGUCCAAGCGGAUCCUCAAGGAGCUCAAGGACCUGCAGAGGGAUCCCCCCACCUCCUGCAGCGCCGGCCCUGUGGCGGAAGAUAUGUUCCACUGGCAAGCGACGAUCAUGGGUCCAUCGGAAAGCCCAUAUGCUGGUGGUGUAUUUUUGGUUACUAUUCACUUCCCCCCAGACUACCCAUUCAAGCCACCCAAGGUUGCAUUUAAAACAAAGGUUUUCCACCCAAAUAUCAACAGCAAUGGGAGCAUCUGUCUUGAUAUCUUGAAGGAGCAAUGGAGCCCUGCAUUGACAGUUUCAAAGGUGCUCCUUUCAAUCUGCUCUCUACUAACGGACCCAAACCCCGACGACCCGUUGGUUCCGGAGAUUGCACACAUGUACAAGAGCGACCGUGCGAAGUAUGAGUCCACAGCGAGGAGCUGGACCCAGAAGUAUGCAAUGGGCUGA
rnacentral:rRNA from 1 species